UUCAAACUACGCAACAUAACGAGAAAGUAAGAAGAAACAGGGAUGUUCUCCAAAGGCUUAUCAACACCACUGUGUGUAUGGGCAUGAGGACACGGCGAGAGGGAAAUUUCCGCCAACAAGUGCGACUACAAGGAGCUUGCAGAGGGUCCAGAGUUUUCCUAGUUAGGUGAACGCAUAAGGAAAAACUCCAGGCCCCAGGGGGUAGGCCCCACCGCUCUGGGUCCAAUGGUGCACCAGUCGGCUUGCAGUUGUCAAUUAUCAUCAGGUAUGUGGAUGAUCAGGGCUUUAUUCAGGAACGUUUCUUGGGCUACUUUGAUGUGUCAAGUAGGCGAGAUGUGCAGUCUGUGUUUGACUUCAUUCAUUUUGAGAUGUCUGAGUUUAACUACGUAGAGAAACUGUUUCCCCUCCAAGCACUGUGAGGACCCCUAUCAGUUUUCUCUCAUUACUGUAUGUAGAGUCAAUCACAAACACAAUCACAUUAUUACACAUCAAUGAUUUUACUCCUUGCUUGGACUAACUCAUUCUUAGCUCUGUGUAGUGUGGUGUUAUUGUUUUUAUGUCUUCCCAGUCAAAUCCUGUCCUGCACUGAAGUCAAGCCUCUGAACACCUCAACUCAUGCCUCACACCCUCAUUCAAUCACUGCUGUGAUCCCUUUCCGACACUGUGUACGAACUCCAGAGCUUCGGCGACAGGGCCUUCUCCAGGGUUGCUCCAAGGUUCUGAACCGCUCUCCCUCCCUCCAGCCAUCCAUGACUCUGAGUCCAUCACCAUCUUUCAGUCCUUCCUAAAGCCCCACCUAUUUGACAAGGUCUACCUGAUACAUCAUACUCUUUCCCUUCCUUGAGCCCACCCCUCACUUUGUUCAUGUUUUUGUUUAGUUUGAUGUUGUCUUGUUUUGACUACUGUUUUGUUUUUUUGUUUUGACAAUUGUAAAGCGGCUUUGGGUCCUUGAAAAGCACUACAUAGGUACCAUGUAUUAUUAUUAUUAUUAUUAUUGUUAUUAUUAUUAUUAUUAUUAUUAUUAUUAUAUAAGUGACAUAUAUGUCAGCUUGGAGUGAUAUAACAACAAUGGUUAAAUGUAACUAUUUUAUCUUGACAUAUUCUAAUGAGUGAGGAAGGAGGCCCAGAGGCCUCACAGCACAACAACAUCAACAUCCAGAAUUGCAGAUGAGGCAGUAAUCCCUCCCCACCCAACCCUAGCUAGCUAAGCCUGAUCCUCUCACAGUCCACUGGGGCUCGACCCCUGGGCCAGCUGCCUUCCUGGAGCCAGAAGCAGAUAAACAACCCACACUGCUGUUUCCCAGGAUCCCUCCAACCCCAGAGGUCCCAGGCACACUAACAUGGUGCAACAGGGGAAUAAAGAGGGAGUUUGAAGGAGAACAGACAGGACACAGGGAUGCUUGGGCCUAGGCUGCUGCAGUUCAGCCAAAGCCCUCUAGGAAAUGUGUUCAGCGACCAUGGUUGGACACGGGUGGUGGAGAACUCAGGCACAGUGUGGGUGUUGGUGGAGGGGAGUUUGUGAGGCAGGCAGCAAAACGCUGGUGAGACUCCACCAACUGAGAUGUUGCAGAGGUGACAGGGACAUUAAAUAUGCUUCACAGACUGGGCUGCUGGAAAAAAAGAUCGCUCUGGAAAUACAAUUCACAACCAUGCAUCGGAAAAACCAGGCCUACAGCUUCAAGAAUACAGGCCAAGCAUUUAAAAAAUGUGAACGCUAGAUAAAUACUCUCACCUUGGGGCUUAUACGAAAACAUAUCCAGCAGAGUUAAAUUUAGGUUUCUAUCUACCAUUUAUUGUCUGUUGUUCACUAAGUGGCUACACAGCAAUGCAGAGCCAGACUUAGAUGUAUAGUAUGGCUCUAAACCCUGGGCUUGUAUAUCUCUUGGUCACACCGUGCGCAUACUAAGUCCCUUCCUCCGGAGGAUCUGAACAUGCCCCUACUAAUACGUUCCGUGACUUCAAGAGCCUUGCCAGAGGUGCUGUGGGUGGAGAUGCGUCUGUGGGCUGAUUGACAGGUGUUAUCCAUCACGGCAGCCCGGAGACGGGCACAUCCCCAGACCCAAUGACAUCACUACAUUAUAGGGGAGCAUGCAGUAACUCCGCUACAGGAACCAUAAUCAAAUGUCUGCAUGUAGGGAAAUAAAACUCUUUAUCAU
rnacentral:lncRNA from 1 species